AACCUGGUUGAUCCUGCCAGUAGUCAUAUGCUUGUCUCAAAGAUUAAGCCAUGCAUGUCUAAGUAUAAGCAAUUAUACCGUGAAACUGCGAAUGGCUCAUUAAAUCAGUUAUCGUUUAUUUGAUAAUACCUUACUACUUGGAUAACCGUGGUAAUUCUAGAGCUAAUACAUGCUGAAAAUCCCGACUUCGGAAGGGAUGUGUUUAUUAGAUAAAAAACCAAUGCCCUUCGGGGCUUUUUGGUGAUUCAUGAUAACUUUACGGAUCGCAUAGCCUUGCGCUGGCGACGGUUCAUUCAAAUUUCUGCCCUAUCAACUUUCGAUGGUAAGGUAUUGGCUUACCAUGGUUUCAACGGGUAACGGGGAAUUAGGGUUCGAUUCCCGGAGAAGGAGCCUGAGAAACGGCUACCACAUCCAAGGAACGCAGCACGCGCGCAAAUUACCCAAUCCCGACACGGGGAGGUAGUGACAAUAAAUACUGAUACAGGGCUCUUUUGGGUCUUGUAAUUGGAAUGAGUACAAUUUAAACCUCUUAACGAGGAACAAUUGGAGGGCAAGUCUGGUGCCAGCAGCCGCGGUAAUUCCAGCUCCAAUAGCGUAUAUUAAAGUUGUUGCAGUUAAAAAGCUCGUAGUUGAAACUUGGGCCUGGCUGGCGGGUCCGCCUCACCGCGUGCACUCGUCCGGCCGGGCCUUCCUUCUGAAGAACCUCAUGCCCUUCACUGGGCGUGCUGGGGAAUCAGGACUUUUACUUUGAAAAAAUUAGAGUGUUCAAAGCAGGCCUUUGCUCGAAUACGUUAGCAUGGAAUAAUAAAAUAGGGCGUGCGUUUCUAUUUUGUUGGUUUCUAGAGACGCCGCAAUGAUUAACAGGAACAGUCGGGGGCAUCAGUAUUCCGUUGUCAGAGGUGAAAUUCUUGGAUUUACGGAAGACUAACUACUGCGAAAGCAUUUGCCAAGGAUGUUUUCAUUAAUCAGUGAACGAAAGUUAGGGGAUCGAAGACGAUCAGAUACCGUCGUAGUCUUAACCGUAAACUAUGCCGACUAGGGAUCGGGCGAUGUUCUUUUUCUGACUCGCUCGGCACCUUACGAGAAAUCAAAGUUUUUGGGUUCUGGGGGGAUUAUGGUCGCAAGGCUGAAACUUAAAGAAAUUGACGGAAGGUCACCACCAGGCGUGGAGCCUGCGGCUUAAUUUGACUCAACACGGGGAAACUCACCAGGUCCAGAUGAAAUAAGGAUUGACAGAUUGAGAGCUCUUUCUUGAUUUUUCAGGUGGUGGUGCAUGGCCGUUCUUAGUUCGUGGGGUGACUUGUCUGCUUAAUUGCGAUAACGAGCGAGACCUUACUCUGCUAAAUAGCCAGGCUAACUUUGGUUGGUCGCCGGCUUCUUAGAGAGACUAUCAAGUCAAGUUGAUGGAAGUUUGAGGCAAUAACAGGUCUGUGAUGCCCUUAGAUGUUCUGGGCCGCACGCGCGUAACACUGACAGAGCCAACGAGUUCUUCACCUUGUUCGAAAGAAUUGGGUAAUCUUGUUAAACUCUGUCGUGCUGGGGAUAAAGCAUUGCAAUUAUUGCUUUUCAACGAGGAAUGCCUAGUAAGCGCGUGUCAUCAGCAUGCGUUGAUUACGUCCCUGACCUUUGUACACACCGCCCGUCGCUACUACCGAUUGAAUGGCUCAGUGAGGCCUUCGGACUGGCUCGAGGAGGUUGGCAACGACCACCUCAAGCCGGAAAGUUCGUCAAACUCGGUCAUUUAGAGGAAGUAAAAGUCGUAACAAGGUCUCCGUAGGUGAACCUGCRGAAGGAUCAUUA
rnacentral:rRNA from 1 species